GACGAACGCUGGCGGCGUGCUUAACACAUGCAAGUCGAGCGGUAAGGCCCUUUACGGGGGUACACGGAGCGGCGAACGGGUGAGUAACACGUGGGUGACCUGCCCUCAGCUCUGGGAUAAGGCCUGGGAAACCGGGUCUAAUACUGGAUAUGACUCCAUGACGCAUGUUGUGGGGUGAAAGCCUUGUGCGGCUGACGGAUGGGCCCGCGGCCUAUCAGCUUGUUGGUGGGGUGANGGCCUACCAAGGCGACGACGGGUAGCCGGCCU
rnacentral:rRNA from 1 species